CCUGAAACCGUGUGCUUACAAGUAGUCAGAGCCCGUUAAUGGGUGAUGGCGUGCCUUUUGUAGAAUGAACCGGCGAGUUACGAUUUGAUGCAAGGUUAAGCAGUAAAUGUGGAGCCGUAGCGAAAGCGAGUCUGAAUAGGGCGUUUAGUAUUUGGUCGUAGACCCGAAACCAGGUGAUCUACCCUUGGUCAGGUUGAAGUUCAGGUAACACUGAAUGGAGGACCGAACCGACUUACGUUGAAAAGUGAGCGGAUGAACUGAGGGUAGCGGAGAAAUUCCAAUCGAACCUGGAGAUAGCUGGUUCUCUCCGAAAUAGCUUUAGGGCUAGCCUCAAGUGAUGAUUAUUGGAGGUAGAGCACUGUUUGGACGAGGGGCCCCUCUCGGGUUACCGAAUUCAGACAAACUCCGAAUGCCAAUUAAUUUAACUUGGGAGUCAGAACAUGGGUGAUAAGGUCCGUGUUCGAAAGGGAAACAGCCCAGACCACCAGCUAAGGUCCCAAAAUAUAUGUUAAGUGGAAAAGGAUGUGGCGUUGCCCAGACAACUAGG
rnacentral:rRNA from 1 species